UGUGGUACUAGGAAAGAUGCUAAAAUUCUCUGAUAAUGCCAUUUAUCACUUUGACAGAAUUUAGAAUCACCUGGCACAUGGUCCUCUGGGCAAGUCUAUAAGCGUCAUCUUGACUGUCUUCACCGAGGUGUGAAGAUCUACUCAUUGUGAGCAGCACCAUUCCCUGGCUGGAAUAAUGCACUAUACAAAUGGAGGCAGAAUGUGAAGACUUUAAAGUUACGUCCUUUAGAGGAGCAGAAGGUCUACAGGAUAUCCUGGUGUCUUCCCAGGGAUGUGUGGGG
rnacentral:lncRNA from 1 species